GUGGGCGGGCAGAGCCUCCGACCAGUUUACCCGAACUGGGGCAAACCGGUAGCAACCCACCACUGUUCUUAGUCCACGAUACUUGCGUUCAUCUUUCUUUGAUCUAUAGCGGGGAUGUGCCUACAGAAGUUACUAAACUACAACGCCAUACAAUCUUCACCAUUGGUCAUGAUAUUUGGGAGUUGCAUUUCACCACUGUGUCAAGAUGGUGUCAAUUCAAGGUAAACUUGCCAAGGUACAACAAUCCCAGCAUGAGACUGUCUGGAGCCCUCCCUGCUUUAGGGUAACCCUAAAGACUAGGGUUGAAAACUCAGGAAGGAAAAGAAGAACCUUUGACGGAAUUAUUUCAUUUGGAGCAACAUCAAACCAAAGGGCUUCUUUCACCUCCACAAUCUUCCCUGGUAUUGAAGUCAGGUUGAUGGGUCUUCUCGGCUAAGACAAUGCCUAGCCAUGCUAGCUGAGGAUAGCAUCAUUAUCAGUGUAUCCUUUCCCUGGAGUGGGGUGGGAAUGGAGAUUUUGGAGU